CUGGUAGGUGAAUGACAAGUCUAAUUCCCCUCAAAGCAUUUUGGGAUUGAUUUCCCCAAUACUUUAGAUUUUUGGGUAAAACAAAGAACUUUAUAAAUGCAUAAAAUAAUGCUGCCUACCUCACUGUGUGUGCAAACCACUGAUGUCUAGGUAGGCAACAUUUCAUUUAAGGCAAGACAUUACAAGUGAAUAGGUUGACAUUUUAACUAAUGUUUAAAUAACUAAGUUUUCCAUUUUUCUUAAAUGUGCAAAGUAGUACACUAGCAUAUAGAUGUGAUGUGAACUAAAAUCCACAAAACUCUGAUAUUUGAUUUCAUGGCUUUAAACCUGCCAUGAGAAAUAUUUUCCGUAUUGAGCACAAGCACUUGGUAAACCCACACAACCCCACCAUUCUAGACAGACUAGCCAAGAGAAGACACAUAAAAAUUGAAUUAUGGCUAACAAAUCAAUUGACUUUCAGUGGUGUCAUACAACCAGGUGAUAUAGUACCAGCUGUGUGAUGUAUCUCUGUUGCAGCGUCCUGAUGGCCUGUUCCGCCUGUUUGGAAAGACAUUUGGAAAUAUUCACAUCGAUUCCAGGAUAUUAGUCUGUCAAUAAUAUGACGUUGUGAUUAAGUGUUGAUUAGUUGUGUUCGUUUUAUUGCUAGAUACACACUGGUGUCGAGAUGAACGCCUGGAGGGUCACCUGUGAACGAAUCCAGACACACACUCUAGUUCUCUCUCGUUUAUAGGUUUCAUAUGUUUUUAUAGACAUUUUAACAUACCUUUCUGUAUGUCUACCACAGGUUUUUGCCGACCAUUUCCAUUUCCUGUAAUGCAGUUAUGAAUUAUGUGUCAAAAUAAUACUGUAUGAUGAUGUCAACCACCUAAAACAGCUUGGACCAUGGAAAAGUAGCCAACAACUGCUUUAAUCUGGAUUUUCCAGCAAGGACAGUCGAGGUUACAUGUUGACUGUAACUUACCAUUUGUAUCAGGGCAGAAGAGUUGAACUGAUGUUUACCUGUAAUUUCCAGGUUGUGAUUGGACCUCAGAGGAAACUACACCCACACCAUCUGACAUCUGUCCUGCUGAAGGUCGGCCAAACGUGUGGCUGGAUAUCAUUGUGGACCCAUGAGCUGCUGCUAUGUGGCCUGAAGACCCUUGAC